AUUGAACGCUGGCGGCAGGCCUAACACAUGCAAGUCGAACGAGCGGCGGACGGGUGAGUAAUGUCUGGGAAACUGCCCGAUGGAGGGGGAUAACUACUGGAAACGGUAGCUAAUACCGCAUACCAUCGGAUGUGCCAAGAUGGGAUUAGCUUGUAGGUGAGGUAACGGCUCACCUAGGCGACGAUCCCUAGCUGGUCUGAGAGGAUGACCAGCAACACUGGAACUGAGACACGGUCCAGACUCCUACGUGAGGCAGCAGUGGGGAAUAUGGCACAAUGGGCGCAAGCCUGAUGCAGCCAUGCGGCGGGUAUGAAGAAGGCCUUCGGGUUGUAAAGUACUUUCAGCGGGGAGGCGUUACCCGCAGAAGAAUCACCGGCUAACUCCGUGCCAGCAGCCGCGGUAAUAC
rnacentral:rRNA from 1 species